rnacentral:rRNA from 1 species
CCAUGCCGCGUGAGUGAUGAAGGCCUUAGGGUUGUAAGCUCUUUCCCGGAAAGAUAUUGACCGUGUCCGGAGAAGAAGCCCCGGCUAACUUCCUGCCAACAGCCGCGGUAAUACUAAGGGGGCUAGCGUUGUUCGGAAUUACUGGGCGUAAAGCGCACGUAAGCGGAUAUUUAAAUCAGGGGUGAAAUCCCUCAUCUCAACUGCGGAACUGCCUUUGAUACUGGGUAUCUGGACUAUGGAAGAGGUAAGUGGAAUUCCGAGUGUAAAAGUGAAAUUCGUAUAUCUUCGGAGGAACACCAUUGGCGAAGGCGGCUUACUGGUCCAUUACUGACGGUGAGGUGCUAAAGCGUGGGGAGCAAACAGGAUUAAAUACCCUGGUAGUCCACGCCAUAAACUAUGAAGGUUAUCCGUCGGGCAGUAUACUGUUCGGUGGCGCAGCUUACGCAUUAAACAUUCCGCCUGGGGAGUACGGUCGCAAGAUUAAAACUCAGAGGAAUUGACGGGGGACCGCACAAGCGGUGGAGCAUGUGGUUUAAUUCGAAGCACGCGCAGAACCUUACCAGCUCUUGACAUUCGGGGUAUGGGCAGUGGAGACAUUGUCCUUCACUUAAGCUGGCCCCAGAGCACGUGCUGCAUGGCUGUCGUCAGCUCGUGUCGUGAGAUGUUGGGUUAAGUCCCGCAACGAGCGCAACCCUCGCCCUUACUUGCCAGCAUUAUUUGGGCACUCUGAGGGACUGCCUGUUAUAACCCAAGAGGAAGGUGGGGAUGACGUCUAGUCCUCAUGGCCCUUACGGGCUGGGCUACACACCUGCUACAAUGGUGGUGACAGUGGGCAGCCCGACAACGAUGUCCAGCUAAUCUCCAAAAGCCAUCUCAGUUCAGAUUGCACUCUGCAACUCCUGUGCAUGAAGUUGGAAUCGCUAGUAAUCACAUAUCAGCAUGCUGCGGUGAAUACUUUCCCGGGCCUUGUACACACCGCCCGUCACACCAUGGGAGUUGGUUUUACCCGAAGGUAGUGCGCUAACCCGCAGGGGAGGCAGCUAACCACG